UGGGGAAUUUUGCACAAUGGGGGAAACCCUGAUGCAGCGACGCCGCGUGAUUUAGAAGGCCUUCGGGUUGUAAAAAUCUUUUCUAUGGGAAGAAAAUGACAGUACCAUAGGAAUAAGGACCGGCUAAUUACGUGCCAGCAGCCGCGGUAAUACGUAAGGUCCGAGCGUUGUCCGGAAUCAUUGGGCGUAAAGGGUACGUAGGCGGGUAAGCAAGUUAGAAGUGAAAUCCUAUAGCUCAACUAUAGUAAGCUUUUAAAACUGCUCAUCUUGAGGUAUGGAAGGGAAAGUGGAAUUCCUAGUGUAGCGGUGAAAUGCGCAGAUAUUAGGAGGAAUACCGAUGGCGAAGGCGACUUUCUGGCCAUAACCUGACGCUGAGGUACGAAAGCGUGGGUAGCAAACAGG
rnacentral:rRNA from 1 species